rnacentral:rRNA from 1 species
CCAAACACCUGGACUAAUUUUACAUUAUAAAUAUUCCCUCACAACCUGACAACUUGUGAACAAAUCAUUUUUCCACCUGAGUACGGGCGACGGAAAGGGAGCAAAUUGAGCGACAGAGAAAGUACCGCAAGGGAAAGCUGAAAAAGAAGUGAAACAACCCAUAUAAGCACCAUAAAGCAAAGAUUAAAGCUU